rnacentral:rRNA from 1 species
GACGAACGCUGGCGGCGUGCCUAAUACAUGCAAGUAGAACGCUGAAGCUUGGUGCUUGCACCGAGCGGAUGAGUUGCGAACGGGUGAGUAACGCGUAGGUAACCUGCCUGGUAGCGGGGGAUAACUAUUGGAAACGAUAGCUAAUACCGCAUAACAGUAGAUAUCGCAUGAUAGCUGCUUGAAAGGUGCAAUUGCACCACUACCAGAUGGACCUGCGUUGUAUUAGCUAGUUGGUGAGGUAACGGCUCACCAAGGCAACGAUACAUAGCCGACCUGAGAGGGUGAUCGGCCACACUGGGACUGAGACACGGCCCAGACUCCUACGGGAGGCAGCAGUAGGGAAUCUUCGGCAAUGGACGGAAGUCUGACCGAGCAACGCCGCGUGAGUGAAGAAGGUUUUCGGAUCGUAAAGCUCUGUUGUAAGAGAAGAACGAGUGUGAGAGUGGAAAGUUCACACUGUGACGGAACUACCAGAAAGGCG